GUCUAUGGCCAUACCACCCAGAAUGCACCCGAUCUCCAAGCUAGGAAGGGUCAGGCUGGUGAGUACUUGGAUGGGAGAAGGCCCCCAGGCCACACAGCCAGUGAGGAACCCUUGUGAUUCAAACC
rnacentral:rRNA from 1 species